UACGGGGGGGGCAAGCGUUGUUCGGAAUUACUGGGCGUAAAGGGCUCGUAGGCGGCCAACUAAGUCAGACGUGAAAUCCCUCGGCUUAACCGGGGAACUGCGUCUGAUACUGGAUGGCUUGAGUUUGGGAGAGGGAUGCGGAAUUCCAGGUGUAGCGGUGAAAUGCGCAGAUAUCAGGAGGAACACCGAUGGCGAAGGCAGGUCUCUGGGCCACUACUGACGCUGAGACGCGAAAGCGUGGGGAGCAAACAGG
rnacentral:rRNA from 1 species